GAUGAACGCUGGCGGCGUGCCUAAUACAUGCAAGUCGAGCGAACGGACGAGAAGCUUGCUUUUCUGAUGUUAGCGGCGGACGGGUGAGUAACACGUGGAUAACCUACCUAUAAGACUGGGAUAACUUCGGGAAACCGGAGCUAAUACCGGAUAAUAUUUUGAACCGCAUGGUUCAAAAGUGAAAGACGGUCUUGCUGUCACUUAUAGAUGGAUCCGCGCUGCAUUAGCUAGUUGGUAAGGUAACGGCUUACCAAGGCAACGAUGCAUAGCCGACCUGAGAGGAUGACCGGCCACACUGGAACUGAGACACGGUCCAGACUCCUACGGGAGGCAGCAGUAGGGAAUCUUGGGCAAUGGGCGAAAGCCUGACGGAGCAACGCCGCGUGAGUGAUGAAGGUCUUCGGGUCGUAAAACUCUGUUAUUAGGGAAGAACAGAUGUGGAAGUAACUGUGCACAUUUUGACGGUACCUAAUCAGAAAGCCACGGCUAACUACGUG
rnacentral:rRNA from 1 species